AAUAAAAUAAAUAAAUAUAAAAGGUAGAAUAAAAUAAAAGUACCCCCCCAAAAUAAAACAUUUCAUUAAAAUAUUUAAUUAUAUAAAUGUUACAUUUAUUCAUAUUUUACAAUUACAUUUAGAUACAUUUAGACAUAUACUUUUUUUUUUUUGGAUUGGUCAGUUACUGACUCACAGCCAAUCAGAAUGCUUGCUUUGGAUUUCAUGCAUCCCUGGUCCGUUAACGGCUCUGACGCAGCCAAACCGCUCGCAAGUUCGUAGAUGAAUCUGGAAAACCUGUUGUGGUUUUCAGAGGCCUUUCUGACGCCUAGAAACUUCCAGACAACUAUCCACAGAGCUAAUGAAAGGAUAAGGUGUUUGUUUUUUUAAUCUGUUAAGACCACCUCAAUUCUCAUACUUAUCUUGGAUCAGCAAACAUCCCACCUUGAGGACAUUUAAUAGAAGAUAUUCUCCUCUGCAGAAGUGUCUUCUCUUUAUCACCACCCAAUGGACAUAUUUGAAUCGAUGGCAGACAGGCCCUCUAAACCCACUCCAACUUCUGUCUUUCUCUCAGCCCACUUGGGAUCUGCAGUCUAAUACACCACAGACUAAAUCUGCUGAUAUUCUUGCAGUAUUUGAAGCAUGGGUGGAAUACUUACCGGCUGUA